GUCAGGAAUGGGCCGAGCGGUCUAAGGCGCUGCGUUUAGGUCGCAGUCUCCCCUGGAGGCGUGGGGUUCGAAUUCCCACUUCUGACA
rnacentral:tRNA from 1 species